UGGGGAAUAUUGCACAAUGGGCGCAAGCCUGAUGCAGCCAUGCCGCGUGUAUGAAGAAGGCCUUCGGGUUGUAAAGUACUUUCAGCGGGGAGGAAGGUGUUGAGGUUAAUAACCUCAGCAAUUGACGUUACCCGCAGAAGAAGCACCGGCUAACUCCGUGCCAGCAGCCGCGGUAAUACGGAGGGUGCAAGCGUUAAUCGGAAUUACUGGGCGUAAAGCGCACGCAGGCGGUCUGUCAAGUCGGAUGUGAAAUCCCCGGGCUCAACCUGGGAACUGCAUUCGAAACUGGCAGGCUAGAGUCUUGUAGAGGGGGGUAGAAUUCCAGGUGUAGCGGUGAAAUGCGUAUAGAUCUGGAGGAAUACCGGUGGCGAAGGCGGCCCCCUGGACAAAGACUGACGCUCAGGUGCGAAAGCGUGGGGAGCAAACA
rnacentral:rRNA from 1 species